UACGUAGGGGGCUAGCGUUGUCCGGAUUUAUUGGGCGUAAAGAGCGUGUAGGCGGCCAGGUGGGUCCGGUGUGAAAACUCGAGGCUUAACCUCGAGAUGUCAUCGGAAACCAUCUGGCUAGAGUCCGGAAGAGGAAAGUGGAAUUCCUGGUGUAGCGGUGAAAUGCGCAGAUAUCAGGAAGAACACCAAUGGCGAAAGCAGCUUUCUGGGACGGUACUGACGCUGAGACGCGAAAGCGUGGGGAGCGAACAGG
rnacentral:rRNA from 1 species